UAUAAUAUUUUCCUACUGUAGUGCUUGUUGAAUUUAUUACCCAUGUACUAUAUUUAAGGCAUUCUAAAAAUGCUUGUCCCAAAGGCAGUCAAAGAAGGCUUUCUAGAGGACGCAAUGCCUAAACUAAGUCUUUUUUUGUUUGUUUUUUGUUUCUCUGAGGGAUCUAAUCAGAAGAAUACAAAACUACCAUCAUUUCACCAUUUACAAAGUUCUUCUGUUAAUAAAGCCAAUACAUCAGCAGAUACCAUUUCCACUUUUGUAUGUACACAAGAAAAUUUGGUCUGAAACCUGAGCAAAAUUAAUGAAAAAUAUUAAUUUGAACUAAAUGGAAAUCAUUGCUUUUAUAAUGAUAUGCAAACCUAUCUUCUUUAGUUAUAUUUGUUAAAUUUUUGUCUUUGGCACAGUCAUCUAUGAACUGACUCUGUCUCAAAAAAAAAAAGAAAAAAGAAAAGAAAGAAUAAAAAAAAAAACAAAACUAGGACACGGCUAACAGGAAGGGGGACAAAGAAUGUAAGUUUGGCAUCCCUGAGCAAAUCUGAUAAUAUAACCCCCCUACAUAAAAGUCACUAUUUUUUCUUACUGUCUGUGCAUAGAUUAACUGAAACACGCAUGGGUCAAUCUAAGGAAAGAAAGAGCACAGUCUGGGUGCGGUAGCACACGCCUGUAAUCCCAGCCAUUUGGGAGGCUGAGGUGAGCCAAGAGGACUUCUUGAACCCAGGAGUUUUGAGACCAGCCCGGGCAACAUAGGAUGACCCCACCUCCUAAAAAAAAAAAUAGAAAGAAAGAAAAAGAAAAAAAGAAAUUAUCCGGGCAUGUUAGUGUGGCCCUGUGGUUCUAUCUACUCGAUGGGGUGAGGUGGGAGAAUCACUUUAGCCUGGAGGCUGAGGCUGCAGUGAGCGAUGAUCACACCACUGUACUCCAGCCUGGGUGACAGAGCAAGACUACCUAGAAAAAAGAAAAAAGAAUGAUCACAAAUUACAUUAGUUAUGCAUGCAUUUUCAUGUAACAUAUUUUAAUAUUGGUUUGCCUGUGUGUGGGCAAAUACCACAUUUGGGGCUGGCAUGACUAACCUGUCUCCUUCCCUAGCCACUUACUGUUCUUCAUUCCAUUAGCUGAGAAUGCAAUUAAGCAUUAAGUCUGAAUAUUUUGUGGUUUUUAAGCAUGCCUAUUUAGAAAAGACCUAAAAGCUCUACCUUUUUGCUAUCUGAUGCUACAUAUAGGAAAAAACAAGCAGAUGUUGCUGACAGUGUCAAUUAAGGAGUUAAUAAGCAAGGAAAGUCCGUCUGUGGUGAAUCUGGGUUGAACAUCUUAGGAUCACAUUAAGUAAUAUUUGUUGAGCACUGCUAUAAAUGAGGCAUGAUCCAGUUGUUCUGAUACAGUGGCCCUGGGUCAGUCCUGUCAUCUCUUCAACUGAAUUUUCUCUUCUCUUAGACAUGCAAAGUCCUCAUGAUUGUCUCAAAACUAUAUGGAAUUGAGAAGGUGGGCAGAUCUGCACUGAUGAGGAAACUGAAACAGAAAAUCCAGAGUAAAUUCCACCAGGCCACACAGCGAGGUCUGAUAGAGCCAGGAGAGACUUCAUGAAAUCCAGACUCUCACACUAAUGCUCUAUCAGCUCGACCUCCAUGUGAGUCUCCCCAAAGUAGGUAGGAAGCGCUUUCCCUAAAAUGCUCAUAAAGCAAAUCAGAGCAAUGCUUCUUUCCAUGUGAUUUCUAAUUUGAAAUGCAAACAAUUGCCAAUUUGUUUGACUUGUAUUUAUAAUUAUUUCCUUGUGAAUUACUCAUCACUAAAUGCUUUAUAAAUA